rnacentral:sRNA from 1 species
AGUUGGGAAGUGUCGCCGGCAUUAGUCGCCCCCGCCGACGGCGCUUUCCGGGGGGCGAGCGCCUUGCUCGCUCCCUUUGGUACCUUUCGAUGGAAUACGCCCCCCUCCGUCGGAAGGGCUAAGGGCGGUGAGGUUCCCCAGCUUCACCGCCCGCUUUU